rnacentral:rRNA from 1 species
GUGCAAGACCUCGGCGUACUGCUCAGUAACACGUGGAUAAUCUGCCCUCAGAAGAGGAAUAAUCCCGGGAAACUGGGGCUAAUACCUCAUAGGAGACGGGUGCUGGAAUGCUCUGUCUCUGAAAGGUCCGCCGUCUGAGGAUGAGUCUGCGGCCGAUUAGGUUGUUGUUGGGAUAACGGCCCAACAAGCCAUUGAUCGGUACGGGUUGUGGGAGCAAGAGCCCGGAGAUGGAUUCUGAGACAUGAAUCCAGGCCCUACGGGGCGCAGCAGGCGCGAAAACUUUACAAUGCGAGCAAUCGUGAUAAGGAAACCCUGAGUGCCUGUCAAUGCAGGCUGUUCUGGUGUCUAACACCCACCAGGAGAAAGGGCGGGGCAAGACCGGUGCCAGCCGCCGCGGUAAUACCGGCUGCUCGAGUGAUAGCCGCUUUUACUGGGCUUAAAGCGUUCGUAGCUUGGUCGUUAAGUCUCUGGGGAAAUCUUCUGGCUCAACCAGAAGGCGUCUCAGGGAAACUGGCGAUCUAGGAACCGGGAGAGGUGAGACGUACUUCGGGGGUAGGAGUGAAAUCUUGUAAUCCCCGAGGGACGACCGAUGGCGAAAGCAUCUCACCAGAACGGCUUCGACAGUGAGGGACGAAAGCUGGGGGGAGCAAACCGGAUUAGAUACCCGGGUAGUCCCAGCCGUAAACGAUGUGCGUUAGGUGUGUCGGUGACCACGAGUCGCCGAGGUGCCGAAGGGAAACCGUGAAACGCACCGCCUGGGAAGUACG